GGAAAGCUACAACUUUUUAAAAUGGGAAAGAAACUUUCCCUUCGUCUGUUGUUCUCAGGAGAAGCAGUGACGGAGCAGCAAUGCUAUAAGCAAAAAUGCUGUAUAAGGUUUGAACCAGGCGGAAGGACUCGAAAGCCCAGGAAGACAUCUGGACAGAAUGCCACACAGAGGUUACUGGAUUGCAGGACUCUAUGCUUAGUUACUAGGGAGAUCUCUUCCCUACCACCUCCUUCCAUAGAUUUGAAUCCAACAGGCUGUUACAGGAACUGAAAGGACAAUUGGCAUUGUUAUGCUGGAGCCCUACAUUUUGAUCGAUUUGUAGUUGUUCUUUUUGGAAUCGCUCUUCUGCACAGUAUGAAUUUAUCAAUAUCCUACUUGUUCCUGAGGUGUAUGGGAGGCUGUAUUUCCCAAGAUACACUGGGAAAACUCUGCAGCUAGCUCUAAUCAAAUUGAACUGCUGUCAAAGACUUCCUGUGAGGCUUCGAGGAAACAUUUCUGUAUAUUAGAGGUGGAGGGGAGGAGGAGCAUGAGGGGGAGGGGAUGGGGAUGGGGAAGGGGGAGCAGGACCAUUCCAAAGCUUAAGUGGAUUACGUAGCUGUAUAACCCAGUUAUGGGUCCGUGGACUCGAGUGAGCUUUUUUCCCUCUGGCUGUCUGCCCUUCAUAUAGUUCCCCUGACAGGCAAGCUUUAUUAGCUUCCCCCAGUCAGCUCUCUGUCUCUCUCAUUUUCCUCUGCUACAUCCCUCAGCUGCCUGUCUCAGCCCUUUCGGUAUCUCUAAGUUCCCCUGGGUCCUUCAUUUAGCUGCACCAGCUGCCUGCACGGAUCUCCAUCCCCACCCCCAGACCUCACCCUCCCAGUGUUUGCCAUGUCCAGUGGCAGCUGCCUUUCUCUCCCUCCCUGCUAGUCUCUCAGCUGGAUGAGUCCAAAGAGGUAUGGUUGUUCAGGCCAGAUAAGGGCAUUGAAGUGUGGAAGAUUAUCCAAAAAAUCGGAACCUCUUGGUUUAAAUGACCCCCCUCCAAAAAAAAUUCCCUUGGAUAUUCGCUUCAGAUGUGCUGAAUGCUUAUGCCCCAGUCGAAGUCAGUGGGAGCUGCAGGUGCUUAGCACCUCUGAAAGUCUGGCCUGUUCAUAUUUCCAUCCCUGUGUAGAAGAACAGUAUAGGGUCAUUGAAUUAAUGCUUGGCUUGGCAUUUCAUUCAAGUCCAUGAAGCUUCCAAAUUACUUAAUAUUUAUACACUUGAGACAGAGGAGUGAGCCUGACAUUGGCUGGGACUAGACUGUUGCUAGAGAAGACCAGGACACCCUUACUAAUGUCUUAAUAACAUCAGAGGUGGAGAGGGAUGUGUGGGUGAGAAAAACAGGGGCAAAACCUGCCUCUCCGCAAGCGAGAGUCUGAAAAUGAUGGUCCUAAAGCAUCCCUGCCAGAGUCAAGAUCUCAGUCGAACAUAACUGCUAGCCUCCUUCCUCCCUUACAAAUCAGCAGAGUCCACUGGGUAAAUGGGCCACGAAGCCUGAAUUCCCUUCUUACUCCUAGAAGGGGUCAAUCCCUCAAAGGCAGGGCUGAGGUAAGAGAGCGGGGCAGGGUGUGCAUAUGUGCACUCCUGGUGUUCUAAAUAAGCGGUGCAGGCAGUUGAUGGGUACACUGUCACCCAGGGAUAACACGAUGGGGGGGAAAAGGAGAAAUAAUUGUACUGGGGCCUUGAGCCUGAAAAUAAAGUGAAAUGGAAAGGGGUGGGGUCCCGAUGAACACAAUGCAAAUUUCUCUUGAUUGGGCCUCAGUACAUCUGAUAUCAAUCAGUGUACCAUGUGCCUGGGAGAUGGAGCAUUGUGUCUCUGUUUCAGCACUCACAGCACAAAACUUUAGUUAAAAAAAGAAAGAAACCCAACAGUAGAGUACUCUCCCCCACUCCCCUUUGAUUUUGCUGGAAUGUCUGUGGCUGCACUCCACUGACAUGAGUCUACAAAUAUUAUUUACUCCUAACAUUAAACUUGGGCCAAUGCUGCUUAGGCUACUGUUGUAUGAAUUGCUAACAGAACAGCAGUGAGUUAAAUGCAAUGCAUAUUUAAGAACACAAGGGGGAGUUGAGGAAAAGAAAGGAGAACAAGAAUAAGUGUUGCCAGCAGGGUCGGUGCAAGGAAGUUUUGCACCCUAGGCGAAACUUCCACCUUGCGCCACUCCCGCAGCCCUGCAGCAGCUCCCCGCCCCCCCCCACUGAGGUGCCCCCCCGCGGCAGCUUGGCCC